rnacentral:sRNA from 1 species
UUGCUGGGACGCGCCCCAGGCGCACCCAGAAACCCUUUGUGAACUUAUACCUUUACUGUUGCCUCGGCGCAUGCCGGCCCCCCCGGGGGCCCCUCGGAGACGAGGAGCAGGCACGCCGGCGGCCAAGUUAACUCUUGUUUUUACACUGAAACUCUGAGAAAAAAACACAAAUGAAUCAAAACUUUCAACAACGGAUCUCUUGGUUCUGGCAUCGAUGAAGAACGCAGCGAAAUGCGAUAAGUAAUGUGAAUUGCAGAAUUCAGUGAAUCAUCGAAUCUUUGAACGCACAUUGCGCCCUCUGGUAUUCCGGAGGGCAUGCCUGUUCGAGCGUCAUUUCAACCCUCAAGCAUUGCUUGGUGUUGGGGCACUGCCUUUAAACGGGCAGGCCCUGAAAUCUAGUGGCGAGCUCGCCAGGACCCCGAGCGCAGUAGUUAAACCCUCGCUCUGGAAGGCCCUGGCGGUGCCCUGCCGUUAAACCCCCAACUUUUGAAAAUUUGACCUCGGAUCAGGUAGGAAUACCCGCUGAACUUAAGCA